GACGAACGCUGGCGGCGUGCUUAACACAUGCAAGUCGAACGGAAAGGCCCUGCUUUUGUGGGGUGCUCGAGUGGCGCACGGGUGAGUAACACGUGAGUAACCUACCCUUGACUUUGGGAUAACUUCAGGAAACUGGGGCUAAUACCGGAUAGGAGCUCCUGCUGCAUGGUGGGGGUUGGAAAGUUUCGGCGGUGGGGGAUGGACUCGCGGCUUAUCAGCUUGUUGGUGGGGUAGUGGCUUACCAAGGCUUUGACGGGUAGCCGGCCUGAGAGCGUGACCGGCGACAUUGGGACUGAGAGACGGCCCAGACGCCUACGGGAGGCAGUAGGGGGGAAUAUUGCGCAAUGGGCGGAAGCCUGAUGCAGCAACGCCGCGUGCGGGAUGACGGCCUUCGGGUUGUAAACCGCUUUCGCCUGUGACGAAGCGUGAGUGACGGUAAUGGGUAAAGAAGCACCGGCUAACUACGUG
rnacentral:rRNA from 1 species